rnacentral:rRNA from 1 species
UACAGAGGGUGCGAGCGUUAAUCGGAAUUACUGGGCGUAAAGCGUGCGUAGACGGUUAUUUAAGUCGGGUGUGAAAGCCCCGGGCUCAACCUGGGAAUUGCAUUCGAGACUGAAUAGCUAGGGUACGGUAGAGGGAAGUGGAAUUUCCGGUGUAGCGGUGAAAUGCGUAGAUAUCGGAAGGAACAUCAGUGGCGAAAGCGACUCCUGGACCAGUACCGACGUCAGGCACGAAAGCGUGG